rnacentral:rRNA from 1 species
GUGGGGAAUAUUGGGCAAUGGGGGCAACCCUGACCCAGCGACGCCGCGUGAGGGAAGAAGGCCUUAGGGUCGUAAACCUCUGUUGUGUGGGAAGAAGGAAGUGACGGUACCACACGAGGAAGUCCCGGCUAACUACGUGCCAGCAGCCGCGGUAAUACGUAGGGGACGAGCGUUGUCCGGAAUUACUGGGCGUAAAGGGCGCGUAGGCGGUCAUUUAAGUCAGCUGUGAAAUGGUCCGGCUCAACCGGAUCAUGCGGUUGAAACUGGAUGACUGGAGUGCUGGAGAGGCAAGUGGAAUUCCCAGUGUAGCGGUGAAAUGCGUAGAUAUUGGGAAGAACACCGGUGGCGAAGGCGACUUGCUGGCCAGCAACUGACGCUGAGGCGCGAAAGCCAGGGGAGCAAAUGGGAUUAGAAACCCUGGUAGUCC